UACGGAGGAUGCGAGCGUUAUCCGGAAUCAUUGGGUUUAAAGGGUCCGUAGGCGGGCUAAUAAGUCAGAGGUGAAAGCGCUCAGCUCAACUGAGCAACUGCCUUUGAAACUGUUAGUCUUGAAUGAUUGUGAAGUAGUUGGAAUGUGUAGUGUAGCGGUGAAAUGCUUAGAUAUUACACAGAACACCGAUAGCGAAGGCAUAUUACUAACAAUUUAUUGACGCUGAUGGACGAAAGCGUGGGGAGCGAACAGG
rnacentral:rRNA from 1 species